rnacentral:rRNA from 1 species
GACGAACGCUGGCGGCGUGCCUAAUACAUGCAAGUUGAGCGCUGAAGGUUGGUACUUGUCCCGACUGGAUGAGCAGCGAACGGGUGAGUAACGCGUGGGGAAUCUGCCUUUGAGCGGGGGACAACAUUUGGAAACGAAUGCUAAUACCGCAUAAAAACUUUAAACACAAGUUUUAAGUUUGAAAGAUGCAAUUGCAUCACUCAAAGAUGAUCCCGCGUUGUAUUAGCUAGUUGGUGAGGUAAAGGCUCACCAAGGCGAUGAUACAUAGCCGACCUGAGAGGGUGAUCGGCCACAUUGGGACUGAGACACGGCCCAAACUCCUACGGGAGGCAGCAGUAGGGAAUCUUCGGCAAUGGACGAAAGUCUGACCGAGCAACGCCGCGGGAGUGAAGAAGGGUUUCGGAUCGUAAAACUCUGUUGGUAGAGAAGAACGUUGGUGAGAGUGGAAAGCUCAUCAAGUGACGGUAACUACCCAGAAAGGGACGGCUAACUACGUG